UUCAUGUUGGCAGAUAAAUGCUAUUGAUUUAAGCUCAAUCCAUGGAAAUUAUUUCCACAUGACA
rnacentral:tRNA from 1 species